CACGUAGUUAGCCGGAGCUUCCUCCUCUGCUACCGUCAUCAUCUUCACAGAGGACAGAGGUUUACAAUCCGAAAACCGUCUUCCCUCACGCGGCGUUGCUGGUUCAGGGUUUCCCCCAUUGACCAAUAUCCCUUACUGCUGCCUCCCGUAGGAGUCUGGGCCGUGUCUCAGUCCCAAUGUGGCCGCCCAACCUCUCAGUCCGGCUACCGAUCGUCGGCUUGGUGGGCCGUUACCCCACCAACUACCUAAUCGGACGCGAGCCCAUCUUUCAGCGGAUUGCUCCUUUGAUUAUCCUACCAUGCGAUAAGAUAAUGUCAUGCGGUAUUAGCGUUCGUUUCCAAACGUUAUCCCCCUCUGAAAGGCAGGUUGCUCACGCGUUACUCACCCGUCCGCCACUAAGAUAUCCAAGAUUCAUUACCGAAGUACUUCAUCAGCGAAUAUCUCCGUUCGACUUGCAUGUAUUAGGCACGCCGCCAGCGUUCGUCCUGAGCCAGGAUCAAACUCU
rnacentral:rRNA from 1 species